rnacentral:rRNA from 1 species
CCUACGGGUGGCGUUCCGAGAGUACCCGAAGAAAAAGCAUCGACUAACUCCGUGCCAGCAGCCGCGGUAAUACGGAGGAUGCGAGCGUUAUCCGGAUUUAUUGGGUUUAAAGGGUGCGCAGGCGGAAGAUCAAGUCAGCGGUAAAAUUGAGAGGCUCAACCUCUUCGAGCCGUUGAUACUGGUAUUCUUGAGUGAGUGAGAAGUAUGCGGAAUGCGUGGUGUAGCGGUGAAAUGCAUAGAUAUCACGCAGAACUCCGAUUGCGAAGGCAGCAUACCGACGCUCAACUGACGCUGAUGCACGAAAGUGUGGGUAUCGAACAGGAUUAGAUACCCCAGUAGUC